UACGUAGGUGUCGAGCGUUGUCCGGAUUUAUUGGGCGUAAAGCGCCCGCAGGCGGCUUGGCAAGUUCGAGGUGAAAUCUCCCGGCUCAACUGGGAGGGUGCCUCGGAAACUGCCAGGCUUGAGGCAGGGAGAGGGAUGUGGAAUUCCCGGUGUAGUGGUGAAAUUCGUAGAUAUCGAGAGGAACAUCGGUGGCGAAGGCGGCCAACUGGACGAUUACUGACGCUGAGACUCGAAAGCGUGGGGAGCAAACAGG
rnacentral:rRNA from 1 species